AGCGGUGAGGUCCCACCUGUUCCCAUACCGAACACAGAAGUUAAGCUCACCUGCGCUAAAAGUACUUGGCUGGACACGGCCCGGGAGGAUAAGUCGAUGCC
rnacentral:rRNA from 1 species